UUUAGAAUGUUUAUACUCAGGCAUUCUUUUGUGUGUAUCGCGCACACCUUAUAAAGAACACAAGUUCCUUGGAGUAUGAAGUGCUAGAUUCGACUAAAAGCCUAGCUGGAGUGGCAGUAUUCUCCUCUCUUUUUCUGUGGAUUUUAACUAGUAUUUCCUGCUUUUAGGAUCUUUUCAAGGAAAUAUUACUUCUCUUUCUUGUAUAGUCAGAAAGCAUAAGGGGCAAGAUGUUAUUCCCAGGAAACUCCAGAUGGAACAAAUACUUGGCAGGACCCUCAGAUCGUUCAACAAGUUCAACAAACGAAAUGACUGUCAGGAGGAGCAGGUAUUCAUCGGUGCCACCAGGAUACUUCGCUAGCACAAAAGGACAUUCAGCACUCAAGAGAUGGUCAUAUGCCCCACAAUCAAGAUCUGCCCUAUACGAGGAUACCUAUAUCCCCGAGGUCAUCAGACCAAGAUCAUACUAUGACACAUCUAGAGAGGAGAACGACAUUAGACGAGGUGUCAACGAUGAGCUGGUGUACACAUCAAAUUUAAUGGACGACACCUACGAUGUAGCAGCCAUGUCACGUAGUAGAGACCAAAAGCUGUUGAGAGACGCCGCAAGGGCACUUCCUUCAACGAUGCCUGCUAUCCAAGAUAAGAAGACUACUUCUCUCACUCCAGCUAGGCGUUUUUCACCCCGCUCGAUAUCUUCGAUAACACCAUCUUUUACAAAGAAACCAAUUGCUUAUCCAAGACUUGCCCCGCCGAUCUAUAGAGGAACAACUAACGUUCAACCGUUGGGCAUAUUAACAAAGCUUGAUUGGACGUCACCAUUAAAAAAGUAUCAAAUUCCCGAGCUAUAUAACGGAGACGAUGUGUCGGAAAUUUCAUCCUACACGACACCAACACAGAGCGAAAGAUCCUCCCCUGAAAGAGACGACGGGACUGGGCCACGCAGAUAUAAAGCACGAAGAUUACCACAUAGAAAAGUUGGUAACUACUAUAAGCAGUUAGUACAAAGGCGAGCGGUACGACCAGGAACAAACCCCAGAUAUUAUCCCUAUUUAGAUGUUGAAUCUAUUGCAUCGAAUGAUGACCUCGUAUCUAACGGUGAGUAUCGUGAUGACGACGACGACUACCAAGACUAUCAAAGUGUCACUGAUGGCGGGGAUGGGGAUUAUUAUUAUGUAAAUAGAGAAAGAUCACCUUCUCCAGUUGAAUAUAUUCCCUUUGGUCCACGCAGUAGAAUGAACUUUGAUAGUGAUGAUUAUAAAUGUCAAGUUCCAAGUAUGAUCGAUUAUGCUGUAUCACAUUAUCAUCCGUCCAAAAAGGAACCAGAUUUUGAUCCGGACAAAUCCCGAAUAAAAGACGACCUUGUAUUUCACGACGUGGUCGCACAUACAGCCCACAAGGCUCGCGAGGCAUUAAAACACGUAGAUUUAGAUCAGUACGAAAAUGCUAGUUUGGUAAUAAGCGUGGAAGGUGAAUAUAAAGAUCCCAUUAAAGGCGAAAAUAUGGGAUUUCACUACAUAGCACGUCCACUUACACUAAAGGGUCCAAUGCUUGCCGGUCCGGCCACAUAUGCAUCAACUGCAUCUGAUUCUGCAUUCAGUAGGUAUAUGGAUGACUCGAGAGCAUUCAGAGCAGAAGUAAGAAAUAGACUUGAGACUGGUUAUAAAACCUUAGGCGAGAUUACAUCCAAAUAUAAGGGUCAUUCAUAUCCAAUCAUUACAUCGUCUCAUAGAAAUUUUUCACGUGCUUUAUCGCCGGUACGAGGUUCAUCAUAUAUUCCUAGAUCUUCAUCACCUGUGCGAUAUUCAUCUGAGUCUUUACCCAUCAGUAAUCUCCGAAAACGCCUUGAGGACAUUGAGAACAGAUUUAAAGCAAGCGGGUAUGGAAAACGCCUAGACACGGACAUAACUGAUUCAUUAGUGGUAUUCCCUGUAUCACAAAAAGAAGGCAUGAAGGCUCUCAAUGACCACUUACCUGGUCACACUAACACCGUGGAACUGUAUCAAGGAAGUGCAAAAGGCACGGAACUGUCAACUUUGGAAAAAAUCAACAUCAAGGCUGCACUUGUCGGAAAUAAAGUCGAGAUUUCAACCCCACACCGAAGAAGGCCAAAGUCCAACUACGCUGCUACUAAAAUGAGGGAGCUGAAAAGAGAGGAACGUGAAUAUGAGGUAGAAGCUAUUCCAACACAAAUCACAACAGGACUAAAAGCUACUACAGUGUCUCCACUCUACGGUGGAAAGUCGCACUGGGAUGAAGAGGGCAAAGUUACAAAACCAAAAAACCUCAUGUCAUGGAAGUCUUUUCAGAAGAAGGGAAGGUUUAUUAACAACCAAUUCAUGUGAAAAUUCACCACCCAGUAGCAUUCUUCGAUCUCCAACGCCACGUAGGGCUGCCUCAGUGCAGCCUACUGCAACGCUAAAACCUUCAGAUGGUUAUCAGCCAAUGUCCGAUGUCCGUCGACGAGUAAGGAGGGUCAUUUGUAAGAAUAGAGGAAAUCCACGCUUUUUCAAGACUGACUGAACAUUGUUGUUGAGUGUGAGAUACUGAGAUGGGAACGUUCAAAGGACAUUUCGAUAAUAUCUGGAAGGAGGAGCCAAUCACAUAGAACAUUUCAUUGAAAACUGCCAUAUACACAUCUUCAAGCAGCGAUUUCUGACUUUAAAAACUUUUGGAUGUAAUUUAUUUGUGCUUUUAUCUGUAUUGCCCUGUCUCUCGUUUAAAAAUGUGUGCUUACGUUGAUACACAAAACACUGAUGUUCAGAGAAUGUUCUUUUUGUACAAGAACACAUUUCGAUAUGAAGACGGGACAAUUAUCCAGCGAUGUGAACCGUGGCAAUAAAAUAAAAUCGAAAAUACGACUGCAUAAUUGAGAUUAAUUGUAAAUUAGAAAAGAAUAUAUUAUAACUUAUAUUGUACAAACCAGAUAUAUUAUAUAUUUAUUUAUAAGAUUUCACUUCUGAUAUCAAUUUGAUAUAUUUUAAUAAACAAAUGUUAUACGUAUAUGUUUUAAAACUUCUGUGAUACUGUAGUGUUACUGUCACUUGCGGUUUGUUGGUCUAAUGACAACUAUUGUACGAAAGUAUUGCUAUAUUAAAUCGUCUUUUGCGUA